GGCCUAGCAGGUAGGGAGUGGACACCAUGAAAUACUGCCUAAUCAGGUAGGGAGAGGACACCACUAAAUACUGCCUAAUCAGGUAGGGAGGGGACACCAUGAAUACUGCCUAUCAGGUAGGGAGGACACCAUGAAAUACUGCCUAAUCAGGUAGGGAGAGGACACAUGAAAUACUGCCUAAUCAGGUAGGGAGAGGACACCAUGAAAUACUGCCUAAUCAGGUAGGGAGAGGACACCAUGAAAUACUGCCUAAUCAGGUAGGGAGAGGACACCAUGAAAUACUGCCUCAUCAGGUAGGGAGAGGACACCAUGAAAGACUGCCUAAUCAGGUAGUCUAUG
rnacentral:lncRNA from 1 species